rnacentral:rRNA from 1 species
CUACGGGCGGCUGCAGUAGGGAAUUUUCCACAAUGGGCGAAAGCCUGAUGGAGCAACGCCGCGUGCAGGAUGAAGGCCUUCGGGUCGUAAACUGCUUUUCUUUGUGAAGAUUUUGACUGUAGCAAAGGAAUAAGGAUCGGCUAACUACGUGCCAGCAGCCGCGGUCAUACGUAGGAUCCGAGCGUUAUCCGGAAUUACUGGGCGUAAAGAGUUGCGUAGGUGGCAUAGUAAGUUUCGAUCUAAAUCUGACGGCUCAACUGUCAGAAGUAUCGAAAAACUGUUAAGCUAGAGGGCAAGAGAGGUCGCUGGAAUUGCUAGUGUAGGAGUGAAAUCCGUAGAUAUUAGUAGGAACACCGAUGGCGUAAGCAGGCGACUGGCUUGUUCCUGACACUGAGGCACGAAAGCGUGGGGAGCGAACGGGAUUAGAUACCCUAGUAGUC